GAUGAAGAACGCAGCGAAAUGCGAUAAGUAGUGUGAAUUCCAGAAUUCAGUGAAUCAUCGAAUCUUUGAACGCACAUUGCGCCCCUUGGUAUUCCAUGGGGCAUGCCUGUUCGAGCGUCAUUUGUACCUUCAAGCUCUGCUUGGUGUUGGGUGUUUGUCUCGCCUCUGCGUGUAGACUCGCCUCAAAAUAAUUGGCAGCCGGCGUAUUGAUUUCGGAGCGCAGUACAUCUCGCGCUUUGCACUCAUAACGACGACGUCCAAAAGUACAUUUUUACACUCUUGACCUCGGAUCAGGUAGGGAUACCCGCUGAACUUAAGCAUAUCAAUAAGCGGAGGA
rnacentral:misc_RNA from 1 species